CCUCGGUGAGCUGUAACUGUUCCAUGUCCCGCCUAAUCACCUCACCCCAGUACUUCUUCGACCUGCCUCUACCCCGCCUAAAACCAUCCAACGCUAGCCUCUCACACCUACGGACCGGGGCAUCCAUGCCCCUCCUCUUCACGUGUCGAACCAUCUCAAUCGUGCUUCCCGCAUCUUGCACUCCACUGAAGUCACACCAACCUUCUCCCGGAUAGUCUCAUUCCGAACUCUAUCCCCU
rnacentral:lncRNA from 1 species